rfam:Triticum aestivum genome assembly, contig: Triticum_aestivum_CS42_TGACv1_scaffold_404939_5BL
UUGGUACUCCCUCCGUCCGGAAAUACUCGCCGAAGAAAUGCAUAAAAAUGAAUGUAUUUAGAAGUAAAAUACAUCUAGAUACAUCCAUUCUCCGACGAGUAUUUACGGACGGAGGGAGUAUUUG